rnacentral:rRNA from 1 species
UACGAAGGGACCUAGCGUUGUUCGGAAUUACUGGGCGUAAAGGGCGCGUAGGCGGCUAAGAACGUCAGAUGUGAAAGACCUGGGCUUAACCUGGGAAGUGCAUUUGAAACGGCUUAGCUGGAGGACGAGAGAGGAGAGUGGAAUUGUCAGUGUAGAGGUGAAAUUCGUAGAGAUUGACAAGAACACCAGUGGCGAAGGCGGCUCUCUGGCUCGUAACUGACGCUGAGGCGCGAAAGCGUGGGGAGCAAACAGG